AGGAAUCACUUGAAACAAAGUUUCACUUUCUGCCUACACACACUCCAGGAAGCAACUUGCCUGUUUCCUAUGUGGCCAAGAUAACAAGAACAUGCCACCUCACUAGCUCUGUUGAGAAGAGGUCUUCUAAAUUUUUUUGCCCAUGUUGUCCUUGAACUAGUAUUUCCAAUGUCAGCCUUCCAAGUAGCUAGGAUAUGUGUGAGCCACCAACACCCAACUAUUUUUAAGUUUG